UACGUAGGGUGCAAGCGUUGUCCGGAAUUAUUGGGCGUAAAGAGCUCGUAGGCGGUUUGUCGCGUCUGCUGUGAAAACUCGGGGCUUAACUCCGGGCCUGCAGUGGGUACGGGCAGACUAGAGGUAUGCAGGGGAGAACGGAAUUCCUGGUGUAGCGGUGAAAUGCGCAGAUAUCAGGAGGAACACCGGUGGCGAAGGCGGUUCUCUGGGCAUUACCUGACGCUGAGGAGCGAAAGUGUGGGGAGCGAACAGG
rnacentral:rRNA from 1 species